rnacentral:rRNA from 1 species
GAACGCUAGCUACAGGCUUAACACAUGCAAGUCGAGGGGCAGCAUUUUAGUUUGCUUGCAAACUGAAGAUGGCGACCGGCGCACGGGUGAGUAACACGUAUCCAACCUGCCGAUAACUCCGGAAUAGCCUUUCGAAAGAAAGAUUAAUACCGGAUAGCAUACGAAUAUCGCAUGAUAUUUUUAUUAAAGAAUUUCGGUUAUCGAUGGGGAUGCGUUCCAUUAGUUUGUUGGCGGGGUAACGGCCCACCAAGACUACGAUGGAUAGGGGUUCUGAGAGGAAGGUCCCCCACAUUGGAACUGAGACACGGUCCAAACUCCUACGGGAGGCAGCAGUGAGGAAUAUUGGUCAAUGGGCGAGAGCCUGAACCAGCCAAGUAGCGUGAAGGAUGAAGGCUCUAUGGGUCGUAAACUUCUUUUAUAUGGGAAUAAAGUUUUCCACGUGUGGAAUUUUGUAUGUACCAUAUGAAUAAGGAUCGGCUAACUCCGUGCCAGCAGCCGCGGUAAUACGGAGGAUCCGAGCGUUAUCCGGAUUUAUUGGGUUUAAAGGGAGCGUAGGUGGAUUGUUAAGUCAGUUGUGAAAGUUUGCGGCUCAACCGUAAAAUUGCAGUUGAAACUGGCAGUCUUGAGUACAGUAGAGGUGGGCGGAAUUCGUGGUGUAGCGGUGAAAUGCUUAGAUAUCACGAAGAACUCCGAUUGCGAAGGCAGCUCACUAGACUGUCACUGACACUGAUGCUCGAAAGUGUGGGUAUCAAACAGGAUUAGAUACCCUGGUAGUCCACACAGUAAACGAUGAAUACUCGCUGUUUGCGAUAUACAGUAAGCGGCCAAGCGAAAGCAUUAAGUAUUCCACCUGGGGAGUACGCCGGCAACGGUGGAACUCAAAGGAAUUGACGGGGGCCCGCACAAGCGGAGGAACAUGUGGUUUAAUUCGAUGAUACGCGAGGAACCUUACCCGGGCUUAAAUUGCAACAGAAUAUAUUGGAAACAGUAUAGCCGUAAGGCUGUUGUGAAGGUGCUGCAUGGUUGUCGUCAGCUCGUGCCGUGAGGUGUCGGCUUAAGUGCCAUAACGAGCGCAACCCUUAUCUUUAGUUACUAACAGGUCAUGCUGAGGACUCUAGAGAGACUGCCGUCGUAAGAUGUGAGGAAGGUGGGGAUGACGUCAAAUCAGCACGGCCCUUACGUCCGGGGCUACACACGUGUUACAAUGGGGGGUACAGAAGGCGGCUACCUGGUGACAGGAUGCUAAUCCCAAAAACCUCUCUCAGUUCGGAUCGAAGUCUGCAACCCGACUUCGUGAAGCUGGAUUCGCUAGUAAUCGCGCAUCAGCCAUGGCGCGGUGAAUACGUUCCCGGGCCUUGUACACACCGCCCGUCAAGCCAUGAAAGCCGGGGGUACCUGAAGUACGUAACCGCAAGGAGCGUCCUAGGGUAAAACUGGUAAUUGGGGCUAA